rnacentral:rRNA from 1 species
AUUAGCUAGUUGGUGAGGUAAUGGCUCACCAAGGCGACGAUCCCUAGCUGGUCUGAGAGGAUGAUCAGCCACACUGGAACUGAGACACGGUCCAGACUCCUACGGGAGGCAGCAGUGGGGAAUAUUGCACAAUGGGCGCAAGCCUGAUGCAGCCAUGCCGCGUGUGUGAAGAAGGCCUUCGGGUUGUAAAGCACUUUCAGUCGUGAGGAAGGUUCAUACGUUAAUAGCGUAUGGAUUUGACGUUAGCGACAGAAGAAGCACCGGCUAACUCCGUGCCAGCAGCCGCGGUAAUACGGAGGGUGCGAGCGUUAAUCGGAAUUACUGGGCGUAAAGCGCAUGCAGGUGGUUUGUUAAGUCAGAUGUGAAAGCCCGGGGCUCAACCUCGGAAUAGCAUUUGAAACUGGCAGACUAGAGUACUGUAGAGGGGGGUAGAAUUUCAGGUGUAGCGGUGAAAUGCGUAGAGAUCUGAAGGAAUACCGGUGGCGAAGGCGGCCCCCUGGACAGAUACUGACACUCAGAUGCGAAAGCGUGGGGAGCAAACAGGAUUAGAUACCC